UGUGGCUCAGUUGGUAGAGUGCUUGCCUCGCAUGCACAAGGCCCUGGGUUCAAUCCCCAGCA
rnacentral:tRNA from 1 species